CCAAUAGCCAGGCAGGAAGGAAAGGGCGGGGCUACCAGAUGAGGAAAAUUCUGGGGAGAGGACCCAGAGAGAAGCCACUGGGAGACGCCAUGUAGCUGCUGAAGGAGUAACAGGUCUGGGGGCGUUAUCCGGGAAAACAAGACCAUGUAGAAAUAAAUACAUCAGUACUCAUGGGUUAAUAAUUAAGAGAGAGCUAGCCAUUAUGAAGCCUGAGCCAUUGACCAAACAGUUGAUAGUUAAUAUAAGUCUCUGUGUGUUUAUGUGGGGCUAAAGGACAGUGGGACCAGGUGGGAAAUUAACUCCAUGUAUAAGCUAACCCUCUCUCCCUGCUGGCAUCUCCGAACGACCGGUGCUCCGACUCUGCCAAACCAGAAAAGGCUUUGGCACUCCAAAUCUCCCCCUACUACCUCCUGGGUCUCUCUAUCUCUCCUGAAUGCCCUCUGAUGAACUAUCACGACUUUCUGUCAACUAGCAGCUAACUCAAUCACCUGACCCAAGGUUAACUUUACUUAAUCAAUGCAUAUGAAUACUUAGGGUUCACAGUGUGAUCUAAUAUUCCCCCAACAAGGAGGACAUGGGAGCAGUAGAUCUGGGGAGGAAGCAAAGAAAGUUCUGUUUCAGUCAUGGAAUGUUUAAGAUACCCACUAGACCUCCAGAAAACAAUAGCUAUGGAACAAUAGCUACUGAAAUCUGAAACUCAAAGAACAAACGUGGGAAAGCAAUGGAUUGCAAGCAUUGUACAGUAUGGAAAAUACAAAGUGUUUAUAGUCAUGAUACUGGAUGAUGGGGCCCUGUAGAAGGGAGUGAGAAUAAUGGCUUUUCACUCUUGAAAUUCACACACAUUGAAUAUUAAUUAAAAUUGCACUCAAUGUCACAGAUGGAAGAGCUUUUUAAAAUUUAUUUAUUUAUUAUUAAUACAAUGGUCUGUCUGCAUGUAUCCCGGCAGGCCAGAAAAAGUUACCAGAUCUCAUUACAGAUGGUUGGGAGCCACCAUGUGGUUUCUGGGAAUUGAACUCAGAACCUAUGGAAGAGCAACCAGUGCCCUUAACCUCUGAACCAUCUCUCCAGCCCUAUGGAAGAGCUUUUAAUGAAAGAAAACAGGAUCAGGAAAAACAUUUAGUCCCGGGGCUAGAGAGAUGGCUCAGCGAUUAAGAGCACUGACUGCUCUUCCAGAGGUCCUGAGUUCAAUUCCCAGCAACCACAACCAUCCAUUAUGAGAUAUGGUGCCUUCUUCUGAUGUGCAGAUAAAAAUGGAAGCAGAAUGUUGUAUACAUAAUAAAUAAAAUAUUAAAAAAAUAAAAAAAAAUUGCCUUGGUCGUGGUGUUUAUUACAUCAAUGGAAAAGCAACUAAUAUGAUCGCUAAUGCAAAAGAGUAUGGGAUUGCACUGCCUGCCUAAACUACUCAGAUCCCAC
rnacentral:lncRNA from 1 species